rnacentral:rRNA from 1 species
AGAGUUUGAUCCUGGUUCAGAUUGAACGCUGGCGGCAUGCCUUACACAUGCAAGUCGAACGGCAGCACGGGAGCAAUCCUGGUGGCGAGUGGCGAACGGGUGGGUAAUAUAUCGGAACGUGCCCAAUCGUGGGGGAUAACGCAGCGAAAGCUGUGCUAAUACCGCAUACGAUCUACGGAUGAAAGCGGGGGACUCAGCAAUGGGCCUCGCGCGAAUGGAGCGGCCGAUAUCAGAUUAGCUAGUUGGUGGGGUAAAGGCUCACCAAGGCGACGAUCUGUAGCUGGUCUGAGAGGACGACCAGCCACACUGGAACUGAGACACGGUCCAGACUCCUACGGGAGGCAGCAGUGGGGAAUUUUGGACAAUGGGCGCAAGCCUGAUCCAGCAAUGCCGCGUGCAGGAUGAAGGCCUUCGGGUUGUAAACUGCUUUUGUACGGAACGAAAAGACUCCUUCUAAUAAAGGGGGUUCAUGACGGUACCGUAAGAAUAAGCACCGGCUAACUACGUGCCAGCAGCCGCGGUAAUACGUAGGGUGCGAGCGUUAAUCGGAAUUACUGGGCGUAAAGCGUGCGCAGGCGGUGAUGUAAGACAGGUGUG